rnacentral:miRNA from 1 species
UCAUUUUAUCAAAUUACGGAUUGCUAGUAUUAUGUUUUUAAACAUAAUACUAGCAAUCCGUAAUUUGAUAAAAUG